rnacentral:tRNA from 1 species
UUGGUGCAGUGGUUAAGCACUCAGCUUCUAACUGAAAGGUAGAUGGUUUGAAUCCAUCA